UACGUAGGGACCAAGCGUUGUCCGGAAUCAUUGGGCGUAAAGGGCGCGUAGGCGGACAGUUUAGUCAGAGGUGAAAGCCCAGGGCUCAACCUUGGAAUUGCCUUUGAUACUGGCUGUCUUGAGUUCGGGAGAGGUGAGUGGAAUGCCGAGUGUAGAGGUGAAAUUCGUAGAUAUUCGGCGGAACACCAGUGGCGAAGGCGACUCACUGGCCCGAUACUGACGCUGAGGCGCGAAAGCGUGGGGAGCAAACAGG
rnacentral:rRNA from 1 species